rnacentral:lncRNA from 1 species
GUGACAAUAACCACAGAAAUAACGCAGCAGACAGUGGCGGCUUCCGUGUGAGUCUAGCUUUGCGGCCCUGGAUGUCUCCGGUGCAGACGCAUUGAAUCUUUACUUAAGCCCUGGGGAGCAGGCAUCUUCACCUAGGCAGCACAGGGCGGGGUCUAGGAUUAGAGAAGUCACCACGUCCUCAGCCGUCCUCCUCAGCUCCCAGGGGUUGGGGGGUGGGUGGGAUGAGCCGGCUACAGUCAGAUCUGCGCGUGCAGGCAGGAAAACCGGCCCACGACAGCCUCUGCCUGAGACGCACCAGGGCUGAGGUCCUGCCGUGGCCUCUUCCCCUCCACCCUGCCUGAAGGAUGCACCUUCCGGGGGGAGCCCAAGCAGCAGGACUGGACCCCAGUGGGGGCAGAGCACAAAGCUGGCAGUGCCGGAUGCUCUGGUUUUAAAGGGACACAGAUGGCGGGAGGGAACUCUCUCUACCUGAGAUCCCCGGGGAAGAGAAGCAAAGGCACUGCGAUGUUCUAAAAAGCAAUUUGGAGAGAGAAAGAGGGCGUGCUGAGUUCCAACAUAAGAAGUCUUUCUUGUAUUGCUUGGACACAGCCUCGCUGGGGAACCCCCCUGCAUCACCCCAGCCCUGCACAGUGGCAGUCCGCAGGACUCGCUUGUAGAAGACAGAAGACAUCAGUGGUGUGUCCAGGACUAAGGGCAUUCCGUGUCUGCAGGAAGCUUGGACAAGAAAACGCAGCCCUUCAGGGAAGACAAAGGGACACCACCAGGGACGGCGAGGGAGCCAACUCUGCUCUGUGCCAGCCCUGGCCCAGUCCCAUCGCUUUCCGAAGGCUCUGCCACACCCAGGGGUCCACGGUCCUGGCCACCACACCAGCCCUGCUCCAGGUGUCCCCACCCACGACAGCCUGCCAGAUGCUAGGACCCCGUUCCCAGCCCUUCCGCUGACCGGGGCAAGGCUCCGUCCCUCCUCAGUGAUGCCCACCAGGCCUGUGGUCUUCUUCCUGCCCCGGGAGCCUCCUUCUCGGUCAUUGCUACCCACCCUCACCCGGGUAUCUCGGUCACCCUGCUGUGCGGAGGUCACACAUCUUCCGUCUCCGGGGUCGAUUAGGGACAGAAACGCGAGCGCAGGAACUGCUGAGUGCCGAGGUUGUGGUGCUCCUCGGGCUCCCGGAGGUGGCACACAGUGCCCAGCUCAUGCCGCAUGGCCUGGGACACAGCCCUGGGCAGCUCAGCGGGCCCUGACUGUGAGGAG